rnacentral:rRNA from 1 species
UACGAAGGGGGCUAGCGUUGCUCGGAAUCACUGGGCGUAAAGCGCACGUAGGCGGCUUUCUAAGUCAGGGGUGAAAUCCUGGAGCUCAACUCCAGAACUGCCCUUGAUACUGGAGAGCUUGAGUCCGGAAGAGGUGAGUGGAACUCCGAGUGUAGAGGUGAAAUUCGUAGAUAUUCGGAAGAACACCCGUGGCGAAGGCGGCCCCUGGGACCGAUACUGACGCUGAGGCGCGAAAGCGUGGGGAGCAAACAGG